rnacentral:rRNA from 1 species
GCCAGCAGCCGCGGUAAUACGUAGGGUGCAAGCGUUAAUCGGAAUUACUGGGCGUAAAGCGUGCGCAGGCGGUUUUGUAAGACUGUCGUGAAAUCCCCGGGCUUAACCUGGGAAUGGCGAUGGUGACUGCAAGGCUAGAGUUUGGCAGAGGGGGGUAGAAUUCCACGUGUAGCAGUGAAAUGCGUAGAUAUGUGGAGGAACACCGAUGGCGAAGGCAGCCCCCUGGGUCAAAACUGACGCUCAUGCACGAAAGCGUGGGGAGCAAACAGGAUUAGAUACCCUGGUAGUCCACGCCCUAAACGAUGUCUACUAGUUGUCGGGUCUUAAUUGACUUGGUAACGCASUAACGCGUGAAGUAGACCGCCUGGGGAGUACGGUCGCAAGAUUAAAACUCAAAGGAAUUGACGGGGACCGCACAAGCGGUGGAUGAUGUGGAUUAAUUCGAUGCAACGCGAAAAACCUUACCUACCCUUGACAUGGCAGGAAUCCCUGAGAGAUUG